UCUCCAAAUUUAAAGUUCAUCAGAAUAACUUGUGUACCAAUAAUUAAUAACCAGUGGAAACAAGUCAGAAAAGAAACAGCACGCUAUUCCUCCACCACAACCAGCAGCCAGAGCCGGUUUCAUGGUGAAGUUAAGGCAGCAAGUGCUGAAGCUGUGCUCCUUCCCGGCCAGGUGGGCCUGACGCAGAUAAGACCUAUGGAAAACUGAGACAGUUGCGUCUGGUUUUGCCAUUUAAAUUCUAGUCAGCGCAGAGAGCCAGGGCUAACGUAACCCCUGGAAAGAGUUACCGUAUGCUUCGAGAGACUUGAGCGCUUCCCGCCGCCGCCUUUCCGUGGCCCGGGCGGCACGGUCAGGCCCCGGGCCGGCGGCGGCCGCACAGCCGCGGCGGCGUUGGCGGGGAGGAGGUGCCGCUCCGGAGCUAGGGGAAGGCGAGCUGGCAGGCGCUUUCCCGGCCGGGUCCCGGCAGCCUCUCCAGCCCGCCCAGCACCAGCGGCUCCCUCCCGGUCCGGCGCGGCUCUCCCGCCCCGUCGGGGCGGCCCUUGCGCGGCACCGCCCGCCCUCCGCCCGUGGGCGGGCCGUGCCGUGCCGUGCGGUUAGGUUGAGGCUCCCUGCGUGUGCCUAUAACUUUGUGUUGCUGCCGGUGGUUGUUAGGAGGAGGGAUGUGGAAGUCGGCGGCGAGGAGGGUGACAGGCUGCUCGGGCGGGCUGCGGCGGCGGCCGGCUGGCUCGGCGCGGGCGGAUCGCUUGCCUCUCGCCGGCUGCUCGCAGAGGGAGCGGGCGGUUUGCCGCUUUCCCUUCCUUCGCCUUUAAAGGGAAGGCUCCUCGGAGCUGAAGGCGCAGGAGCAGCAGGAACCAUACAGCAGCGCUGCUUCUUCCUCCCGUGAAUUCGGAUCUUGAUUUCUGCCGGUGUGGAGGUGGCUGUUGAUUCUUCCCCCCCCCCCGCCUCCCUCCCGCCUCUCUCCCCUCCCGAUGUGGCUCUCCCUGCCUCUUCUGCCUGCGCUUUUUAAAUGACUUGAGUGAAGGGGGGAAAAAAACUGUCAAGAUGGCAGCAGCAGGAGCAAGGAGGUUAUGAAUGUGGUGUUGAUGCUGGAACAAAACCUAUUCUCUUUGGCAGCCCUAGGGAGGGCUUAAAGCUUCUGGACCUGUUGGAAGACUGGCGAUUUGAUUUUUUCCCGUUGUGUUGCCCUGCGAGAAGAAGGAUUUUUUUUUUUUUUUUUUAACCGACCAGCCCUCGGGGUGGCCUUCUCCCGCCCCCUGCUCCGUCGGCUGUAAGAUUUUGGGGGGUUGCUUGCGUGUGGCUUGGGGGGCACUGCAAAGUGACAGGCUUACGCUAGUAUGCAGUUGGAUGUAUACUAAGACUUCGUCUCCCUUCAGGGCGUUUUGAAGAAGGAAAAAAGUCUUCGGCGUAAUCUGACGGACCCCUCUCCCUGCCCUCCUGCCGAGGAAGGGGGCAAAGGACCACCACCCUCAAAAGGGAAGGUAUCUGCAGAAGCGACGAGGAGCGAGCUCGGAGGCGCCGGGAGCAGGAGGGGUCGUCUCCCGGCUGGAUACAGUGCGGUUCCCGCUGGAGCUACUUCUGCAUCCGCAUGGAGUGAAACAUAAACAAACGCACACACGCACCGCGGGAGCGACCGCCGCUCCGCCGGCGCGGAGGGCUGCGCCGCGGGCACCUCCGGCCCCGCCCGGCCCCGCGCUGCCCUCCCUGCGCUGCCGCUCCGGCUCCUAAUCUGCUUUUUUUUUUUUCCCCCUCCCUCCCCUUCCCUCCUUCUCCUCCCCCCCCGCCCGGCUCCGGCGUGCGUAUCGCCCGCGGGGAGCGGAGCUCAGGGUGCAGCGGAGAGCCUGCCAGCCCUUAGCGGAGAGCGGCAUGCCCGCCCGGCGGCCCCCCGCCUGCUAGGCUCCCGUCGGCACCGAGGAGGCGGCGGAGGAGGAGCGGGGUCGGCGGCCGCCCGCCCCGUCGCAGCGCCCCGCAGCCGCCCGCGGGGGAGGCCAACAUGGCAGAGGCGUCGCCCCCCGCCCCGCUCUCGCCCCUGGACGUGGAGCUGGACCCCGAGUUCGAGCCGCAGAGCCGCCCCCGCUCUUGCACCUGGCCCCUGCAGAGGCCCGAGCUGCAGGCCAGCCCAGCCAAGCCCGCCGGCGAGCCGCCCGCCGACGCCGCCUCCAUGAUCCCCGAGGAGGAGGACGACGAGGAGGAGGGGGGCGGCUCGGCCAUGGCCGUCGGCAGCGCGGCCCCCGCGGGCGGAGAAGCGGCGGCGCCGGCCACCGCCGUCCCGGAGGAGGCGGCGCGGCUGCUGGCCCCGCUGCCCGGAGGCGGCCCGGAGGGACCGAGCCUUUCGCCUGGAGGAGCGACGGCGGCGGGCGGCGGGGGGCUGAGCGGGGGCCCGGCUGCGGCGCCGAGGAAGUGCUCGUCGCGGCGCAACGCAUGGGGCAACCUCUCCUACGCCGACCUCAUCACCCGCGCCAUCGAGAGCUCCCCGGAGAAGCGCCUCACCCUCUCCCAGAUCUACGACUGGAUGGUCCGCUGCGUGCCCUACUUCAAGGACAAGGGCGACAGCAACAGCUCGGCCGGCUGGAAGAAUUCAAUCCGGCACAACUUGUCACUCCACAGCCGAUUCGUCAGGGUGCAGAAUGAAGGCACCGGCAAAAGCUCUUGGUGGAUGAUCAAUCCAGAUGGUGGAAAAGGUGGCAAGGCGCCCCGGAGACGUGCUGUGUCGAUGGACAACAGCAACAAGUACACGAAGAGCAGAGGGCGGGCGGCUAAGAAAAAGGCAGCCCUGCAGACUGCCCAGGAGACGAGCGAGGACAGCCCUUCUCAGCUCUCCAAGUGGCCAGGGAGUCCCACCUCCCGCAGCAGCGACGAGCUGGAUGCAUGGACAGAUUUUCGUUCCCGUACAAAUUCAAAUGCCAGUACGAUCAGUGGCCGCUUGUCACCGAUUUUGGCAAGCACCGAACUAGAUGAUGUUCAAGAUGAUGACGCUCCGCUUUCUCCCAUGCUGUACAGUAGUCCAUCGAGCUUGUCCCCAUCAGUAAACAAACCGUGUACGGUGGAGUUGCCUAGGUUGACUGAUAUGGCUGGGACAAUGAAUUUGAACGAUGGACUGACAGAUAACCUCAUGGAUGAUCUCUUGGACAAUAUAACACUCCCUCCAUCCCAGCAGUCGCCCACAGGAGGGAUAAUGCAGAGAAGCUCCAGUUUUCCGUAUGGUUCCAAAGGUUCAGGGCUGGGUUCCCCAUCAAGUAGUUUCAACAAUGCUGUGUUUGGGCCGUCGUCCCUGAAUUCCCUCCGCCAGUCGCCCAUGCAGACCAUUCAGGAGAACAAGCAGACCACCUUCUCUUCCAUUUCUCAUUACAACAACCAGACGCUGCAGGAUCUUCUCGCCUCUGAUGCACUUAGUCACAGCGAUGUCAUGAUGACACAGUCUGACCCACUCAUGUCACAAGCCAGCACAGCUGUGUCCGCCCAGAAUUCCCGCAGGAAUAUAAUGCUCCGCAACGAUCCCAUGAUGUCGUUUGCUGCGCAGUCCAGCCAGGGCGGUCUGGUCAAUCAGAGCCUGCCUCAUCACCAGCACCAGUCUCACAACUCCUCUCUUAGUGGCAGCCGUGCCUUGUCCAAUUCCAUCAGUAACAUAGGCUUGAGUGACUCGAACAGCUUGGGAUCCACCAAACAUCAGCAGUCACCUGUCAAUCAGUCUAUGCAAACACUUUCUGACCCGCUCUCAGGCUCCUCUUUGUACUCCUCUAGCGUGAACCUCCCGGUCAUGGGACAUGAGAAAUUCCCAAGUGACUUGGACUUGGAUAUUUUCAAUGGGAGCCUGGAGUGUGACAUGGAGUCCAUUAUCCGCAGUGAACUCAUGGAUGCAGAUGGGCUGGAUUUUAACUUUGAUUCCCUCAUCUCAGCUCAGAACGUUGUCAGUCUGAAUGUGGGGAACUUCACUGGUGCUAAACAGGCUUCAUCACAGAGUUGGGUACCAGGCUGAAGGAUCUUUGAGAACAGGGAAAAUGGGCAAACAGUUAGAUGUUCAAGGGGAAGCUUUGCAGUAGGUGAACAGCAGUGGUGAACCUCCUGAAUGUCUUCUGUGUGUGUGGAGUACCACAGGAGACGUGUGCUGUGAUCUGCUGGCUGUGAGGAAGAACAAGACCAUGCAGGAGUCCUCCCUUCAGUCGUUCUGCAAAGCUGCCUCGCUCCAGUGGAGCGGUUGGUUUGCACAGUCCUUUCUCUUCUGGUGGGAGGAUUUCUUCUGGUUCUUUCGCAUCUUCUCGCUGAAAGUGAGAGCGUUGCAGUGCAUGGCCAGGAUAGGGGCUGCGGGGACAGGCUGUAGAGAAUGCCAUGUCCUGCUGACCCUGCAUGAGACAGCAGCUUGGCAAGGCCAGGGCCACAGCUGAAUUCUGGUUUUCCUUCAGUUCCAGUGCUGGAGAAUUUAAGAAAGAAAAGGGGAAAAAAAAAUUGACUUAUGAACCAGGAAGGAAAAAACUUGUAGAAGGUCACGCUUGCUGACCAGGUCUCUCUUCCUCCAGGUGCAUUAGCUGUUAGGAUUUGAAAACCCUUUUUGCAUGAGGUUAAAAAAAAAAAAAAAAAGGCUGUAGGAACUUUAUCACUGUGAAACAUCCAACAGUACAAUCUGCCAAAUGAGGCCUAAAAAAAUAGAUGUUAUUGACAGCUUUGCUUGACACAGGCAAAUAGGGCAGCCUCUUGCUUUCGUAUCUUCGUUUGCUGUGUAUGGGUAGAAGAUGCCCGCGGGGAGACCUGCCUAGGCAGCACGGAGGAGGCAGACCACACCACCUCCUCACUGAUGCUCGCUGCUGCCUCUUCGUCACAGCCUGUGCCAUUCACAGAAAGCGUAGCCACCGUGAUCUUUUUCAGGCUGCUCCCUCUGAAUAAAGGAACUGACACAUCUGUGUGAGCAGAGUCUCAUUGCAGAGGACAGAUUUAUUAACAAGACAGCUCUCCUCGGCGGAUUACUGUCCAGUCAUCUGUGGAAGCCUCUCUCCCUCUCUGACAAGUGGACCGGCUGUUGCGGGGUGCCUCCGGUAUCAGGCCCUCAAACUGACACGAGAUGUAGAGAGAGAACCCUUUGCCAAAUAUGCUGUCAGCAAGUGGACAGUGAUACUGUUUACAGCUUACGACCUUUGUGAACCCUGCAUUAUUUUCCUAACGAAGCAGACUGUUAAUAGGCCCUUUACCUGAGUGAAGAUGCUCUUUUUUUUUCCCUUUUUUUUUUCUUUUCUUUUUUUGGGAAUUGAACUCAUUCUGAAGUAUGCAAAAUCUUCCUUUUCUGGGAUGGCCAAGCAUCUGCUGUGGAGACAAUGUUCAGCACCAUCCUGUUGAGAACACACUGUGUAGCCUUUACAGUAGUUACUUGUCAAUGAGUAUGUGGUGUUUCGAUAUAUUAAUGGUUUAUGGGAUGUUUUAAGUUGGCUUUUCUUUUUGGAGGUUUUCCCCUUCUGCCCACCCUCCUCCCCCACAACCUCCAGUUUGAUUUCCUUAGAUUUUUUACCAUUUUUGCUUUCUCUCCCUGGGGAAUCUGAAAUACUGCGCACGCGCAAGGAAACGAUCAUAACCCAACACUGCUCAGAUGUCGGGGUUUUCUGAAUAUACAGAGUUCGUUAUACCGAUCAACCGGCUUAAUUCCAGAGAGGGGUGAUGUGUGUGGUCUCUUUGUUUGUUGGGUUGGUUUGUUUCUUUCUUUCUUAUUUCUUUCCUUAAAUUUAAUGGUACACCCUUGUUUUCCGUAAGCAUCAAACCAGGGUUGAUUGCAAAACAAGGGAAGCCGGUGAUGUUUGCCUCUUGGCUCAUGAGGACGGACUGACAGCGGGUGCUGUUGCGCACCGAGGCAGGAGCCUGUUCACUGCCCGCCGGAGCAGGCUCCCCUCCUGCCUUACGUUAGCAGGGCUGCCCCUACUGCUGCAGCGAGCUGGUAAGGAGUUAUAAGCUGAGCUGCCAGACAAGUUGAACGUAACCACCUGUAAAGAUGUGUUUAAAAAAACGAAAAUUAAGGGAAAUACGCCACUUAGCAGAAAAGCUAAGCGUAGAAGCUGGGCAUCGGCAGGUGACUUGCAGUGGCAACGCCGGGAGUUGAGGCACAGGUCGUUGCAGGGUGUGUUACUGCAUCAGCUAUUCUUUUUUGUUGUUGUUGUUGUUUUGGACAUAUCCUUAUUAUUUUUUUCCUUCUCAUUAUGUAUAAUCCAUUGUGGCAGAAGAAGCAGGAGAGGGAAUGGCAAGGUGACAGUAUCAUAAAAAUGGCUUUUCAUAUGAGCAUAGAUUGUAACGGGAUAAAUGACACUGAAAGACAAGGCAGUUUUAUAUAUUUUGCUUCUAAAAUUUUCUUUUGUAAAAUGAAUAAUAAUUAAUAAUAAUAAAAGGUAUGGUGCUGUAUAGAUCCUCUCUAUAAUCUGGAAAGUUUGAUUACUUUUUAUCAGUAUCUUGGGGGGGGAGGGAUACAAAAAAAGAGGGGAAAACACCAAUGGUACAUAGGAACUCGGUAUGAAGAGGUUCUGAAUAGGACAGUGUAUACAUAAUUCUCCAAAGCGAUAUAUGAAGUUUUUUUUUUCUUUGCAUAAAAGCAUUAUGCAUAUAAAUAUAUAAAUAUAUUUUAUUAUGUACAGAAAUGGAUCAUUAUGCAUGGAUGUUAGGAAAACAAACUAGCAUUUUAACCCAAAGUCUCAGUGCAUGAGUUCCCACCGACCCAUGUCCCAUGCAAUGUGGAGUGACUCCCUCUCGCCACUGCCACUGCACACGCAGAGUCAUGCACACACACACACACACAAAGUGCAUUCAUGGGCCCUUCCUCACCCCUUAUUUUCCAGGUCCCUGAGGUGAUAUUGGUGAAACCACAGCUCCUAGUGUGAUGGAAGUUUUGGUUUUGUAUUGUAGCCCCCACACUGUUAUCUCGUAAAGAUGCACCUCUUGGUUUCUCCCCGCAGUUAUGACUGUGUAGACUCUGUGCAGUUGUGGUUAUCGUAGCCUAUCGACUUUUCCAAGCAGCCAAGGGUUUAUCAUUCGCCUUUUAAAAAACCUUGUCUUUUCAUUUUACACUGACAUGGUCUAUUUGUCAGCGUGGGGACUAGUUUAUUGACUUUGCUGGAGUUAGCUGAUGCUCAUUGCCCAUCUCUGUCAGCAGCCAGCUACCCAGGACGCUGGUGUGGCACAGUGGUCACCGGGGCUAGGGGUCUCUUUGCUUAUCAGAAUCCAGUUGCAGACACCUUACCAAAAUUGACUGAGAGCUUUAUCAUCAGCCUCCUCUGAGGGCGUAGCAUUAGCUCUCUGCUUCCCAAUACACCCCGAAAUGCGAGUGUAUGCUGAAGGACUUCCCUCCGGUGCUCCUUUCCCUGAGGCUCCCCCGUGGCUGCUGCCCCGUGACUGGGCUUGUCCCCCUGCCCCGCAGUUUUGGCCGCCCGCAGGGCUCACUUGGUGGCUCCCUGUGCCGGGGUGCAGCAUUUGGCCCCUACGCGGGUGAGCCUCCGGUGGGACCCGGGGUGCCUGCCGAACCACCACCAACCAGGUCACUGACAGCACCAAUAAGCCCUGACUUGACGGUAUGGCCGAGGUGACCAAAAUCCAUCAUUUCAUUUUAUUUUCUUGGUAUAGAUGCAGUUCUUGUCAAAGGCAAGGGAAGGCCCAUUAGCUUAAACCAAACGGGGGAACUUCUGCUCUGCUACGGCAGCCUAGCUCCCUUGAGUUCAACAGAGCUAGCUCCUGUGGGCAGAAAUGAGAGAGAAAACUAUGGUCCGCUCUGCUCAGAAAAUGGAGAAAAAACAAUAGAUUCAGAGACAGCCCAUCAAUGGCAGAGACGUUUUUUUUUAAAAAUGAAAGCAUUAGCAGCUGAAAGGCUCAUCCUGCCUCCCAGCAAUGCCAAGGAAAGCAUUUCCAUUGGUGUGUCUGGGACACAUGGGGCCCCUGCUUUGGAGAAUGUCCCAGCACUCACCAAAGAGGAGUGGACUUGGCCAACCUCUUCAGGUUUGGUUUGGUUUGGUUUGGUUUCCGUUGCUCUUUCUUGCUGCCAAAAUUUUCAAGCAGAAGUGCCCAGUGUCAGGCACCGAACGUGGGGGACUGCAGCGUGGUCACAGGGGAUGAGCUGCUCUGCUCUCAUCGCUUCUCGAAGGAAGGAGGGGUGCCGGGUCCCCCCAGGCCCAGGGGAAGGUCACCACCCUCUACGCCUGCUGAGGUGCCCAGCAAACGCCCUCCUCUCCAGAAGCGCUGAAUAAAUCUCGCUGAAUUCAAGGGGCCAUGGAUUUAGGUGUCAAAAUGUGGACUUUAAUGGCUAAUUUUGGGAACCUACCUUUUGAAAACCUUGGCCUUUGAGUCUUUGAACAUGUUUAUGCCUAGAAGUUUUCCUUCUGAAACCAUGUAAAACAGAUAAAGGUCCAGAACAAUUACGUAGGUAUUUUUUUAACAUUUGGUCUAAACAAAAGGUCUAAAAAAGUGACAUUUAUGCAGUUCCUAGUCACAGGUUUGGGGCUUGAUAUAAUAAUUUUGUUAAAAAAAAUUUCUCUUGAGAACAGUUGGAUAGUUCACCACUGCUGUGCCACCGCUUCAAAAAGUUACCUUUUAGGUAAUGUAUUUCUCUAAAAUGAUGUCAUUGCUUGGCAAUCAGUGUCCUGUAAUUGUUCCUAGUACAUGAUAUACAUUAGGAAUUGCCAACAGAUGUGAAGGGGGACCAGAUACAUUUCGUUACUAUGGGUUGGAAAAAAUGGACUGUACAUUUGGCUUCACAUGUUUAACUUUUUUUUAAAAAAAGUUGCAUGAUUGGAAAAAAUAUGUAUACAGUAUCUGUAAAACUGUUUUAUCUGUUUUUGUUUCAAGCCAUGUAAAUUGGAAGAAUAUUAAAUCCACAGCCUUAUCACGCAUGGCCGUCUUUACAUACCGAAGAGCUGAACAGUUUAUACUUUUCAUUUGGGCUAUCUUGUACUUUCAUUUGAAAGCAGACACUCUCAUGUUGCAGUCUUACUGAGGAUUUUAUAUUAAAAAAAGAAAAAAAAAAAAAAGAAAAAAGAUGCUGCCCUGGAGGAAUAUACUACCUUACUACACAGAGGUUGGAAGGAAGUUUGUUUUGGAGCAAAACCUGCCCCUUUCCAAACGAAGUAGAGACGCAGUGCUUACUCCACUUGGUGUUAGUAGAUAUUGCCUUGUGUAUUCCAUUUUAAAUUGUAAUCUAGUUUGUAAAAGAGAUGGUGACGCAUGUAAAUAAAGCAUAAUGGAUCCCUACAUUGCA